rnacentral:rRNA from 1 species
UACGUAGGGGGCAAGCGUUGUCCGGAUUUAUUGGGCGUAAAGAGCGUGUAGGCGGCUAGGUAGGUCCGUUGUGAAAACUCGAGGCUCAACCUCGAGACGUCGAUGGAAACCAUCUAGCUAGAGUCCGGAGGAGGAGAGUGGAAUUCCUGGUGUAGCGGUGAAAUGCGCAGAUAUCAGGAAGAACACCCGUGGCGAAGGCGGCUCUCUGGUACGUGACUGACGCUGAGACGCGAAAGCGUGGGGAGCAAACAGG